GCAGGGGUAGCAAAGUCUGGUCAAAUGCACAGGCCUUAGGAGUCUGUCCGUUAGUCGGUUCGUGAGUUCGAAUCUCACCUCCUGCA
rfam:Candidatus Aenigmarchaeota archaeon CG1_02_38_14 cg1_0.2_scaffold_4514_c, whole genome shotgun sequence.